UAGGGAAUCUUCCACAAUGGGCGCAAGCCUGAUGGAGCAACACCGCGUGAGUGAAGAAGGGUUUACGGCUCGUAAAGCUCUGUUGUUGGAGAAGAACGUGCGUGAGAGUAACUGUUCACGCAGUGACGGUAUCCAACCAGAAAGUCACGGCUAACUACGUGCC
rnacentral:rRNA from 1 species